rnacentral:rRNA from 1 species
GCCGCGGUAAGACGUAGGAUCCGAGCGUUGUCCGGAGUUAUUGGGCGUAAAGGGUGCGCAGGCGGUUAUAUAAGUCAGAUGUGAAAUCCCUGGGCUUAACCUAGGAAUUGCGUUUGAAACUAUAUAACUAGAGUGUGACAGAGGGGAGUGGAAUUCCAUGUGUAGCAGUGAAAUGCGUAGAGAUGUGGAAGAACACCGAUGGCGAAGGCAGCUCCCUGGGUUAACACUGACGCUCAGGCACGAAAGCGUGGGGAGCAAACAG